AGCCAUGUGAUGAGCACAGAGCGAACUAUUCUUUCGCCUUUUACUAAAGAAUACCGUGUGCUCGUUACUAAAAGUGGCAUACAUGAAUUUUUAAAAGGUCUUCCUUUUAUUAGUAGGGCC